AAAACAAAUUAGAACAGGGCACUUUCCAAACAGUGAAGGAGGUUUUUCCAAACUCAUCCCUAACUGAACAUGAGGAUGAAUUGGCAUUAGGUGAACACAGUCAGUUAUUCAGUCUACCACCUGACAGUGUGUUGAAGUUAAAUUCUGUUAGUGCUGCACUAAAAGAAUUGUUAGUAAUAAGUCCAUGCGGCGAAGGAAGUGAACAACUGUGGGACCGUAUUUGGGCUGAAAAUGGGUGUGGUACGGAAACCCAGAAAUAGCACGAGUUCAACAUAAAACAUGAAUUAGAAUUUUAGUGGGGGAUCAAGUCAAGUCUGGAAGUGUUACAGGAUGGAAGAGUGAGCCUACAGUUGAAAAACACUGAAAGUGCAUUACCAUUAAGGUAUGAGGUAAAGUAAUAGAGUAUGCAAAUUGUCUAAU